CGCCAGACUCCUACGGGAGGCAGCAGUGGGGAAUAUUGCACAAUGGGGGAAACCCUGAUGCAGCGACGCCGCGUGAGUGAAGAAGUAUUUCGGUAUGUAAAGCUCUAUCAGCAGGGAAGAAAAUGACGGUACCUGAUUAAGAAGCCCCGGCUAACUACGUGCCAGCAGCCGCGGUAAUACGUAGGGGGCAAGCGUUAUCCGGAUUUACUGGGUGUAAAGGGAGCGUAGACGGUGAUGCAAGUCAGAAGUGAAAGCCCGGGGCUCAACUCCGGGACUGCUUUUGAAACUGUGUGACUGGAGUGCAGGAGAGGUAAGCGGAAUUCCUGGUGUAGCGGUGAAAUGCGUAGAUAUCAGGAGGAACACCAGUGGCGAAGGCGGCUUACUGGACUGUAACUGACGUUGAGGCUCGAAAGCGUGGGGAGCAAACAGGAUUAGAUACCCCCGUA
rnacentral:rRNA from 1 species